GGCGGCGGCGGGCGCGGGCGGCGGCGGCGGCGGCGGCUCUCUUCACUGUCGCUUGGAAAUAAAGGAACCACAAGCAGCCAUCCUCGCUGGGGCGUCUCUGCCCCUCGCCCCGAGGCCUACACCGCCCUCCUAGGUGAGAGGAUUGAUUUGCUCAGAGCCAGCGGGGCCGGUCUGGGCCGGGGCGCGGGGCCUUCUCCCCGCCGCUCCUCCGGGCGGUGCCUCAAAUGUCAGUGCGGCCAGGCCAGCCAGGGGCACCGCCGCCGCCUCUAACAUUGAGCAACAGCGCCACCUCGCGUCCACUUGCUCCAAUGCAGUCCUGCCGGGAAAAUGCCAACAGAGCCAGCAGGUCCCAGCCUUGGCCCAAAGAGACCCUGCGCAAAGGACCUGCCGGAAUCUCCCCCCUAUUCAGGCGCAUUUCUGGGCUCGGAACACUUCAGCUCACGCAGAUGCACGCUCCGAGGCUCCAGAGACCUCCUGCCCGCGGCGCGCGCCCAAAACUGCUCGAUCCUCUUACCCUGCCGCUGGUUCCGCACCGCCUACUCCGCUGCCGCCCGCAGGACUUUGGGGUGGGACGCUGACUUCUCCCUUCUCCCGACUGUUUGCCCCCUGGUUUGUAGCCCAACCCGCCCCCCCCCCUUACGCGCGCUCUCUCCCCACCUCUCCCUCCCAGCCAGUGAGGUCCUGUUCUCCGUGGGCCAUAGACAAAACAUUCCUAUAAUCCGAUUUCAAAGGAAAGAGUGUCCACCUUAUUUAAACCAUAAAACAAUUAAGCCCAGACGUCUAGCCAGCUCCGCGCUGCUGUUUUGUUCAGCCCCAUUCAGAAUCCAGCGCAGGGAGACAAACAGCGCCAUAAAAGUGGCAUUUCGGGGCUGCGGAAAUGUACCUAUCCGCUGCCUUCCCAAGUGGAACAACCUUUAGGGUUUUGUGAUUCUGACAAAGGAGCAGAGGAGAGGUGGGAGGGGAAGAUUAGGGCAGGAGAGCGUUUGCUAGCCCCUCUUCCCGCCCCCCCCCCCAAGCUUUCGUUUCUUUCCCUAGAUGUAUCUUGUGUUGUGGUUUUAAUUCACAAAUUGUAAUAAAUUUAAAAAAAAAUU